GGGCGGGGACUGGCGCCGUUGCUCCCCACCCCAGAGCCCACUUGGACCCCCGGCGACGCCAGCCCUGCCGGCUUCCUGCUCGGCUUUGCUCCAGAGCUCCUCCAUGAUCCUAAUUCUCUUGGGGCCUUCUCUCUUGACCCUCUCUGGGAUGGACAGAGCCCCAACAAGUACUUGACCAAGUACUGAGAGAGAGCAGGCAAAGAGUCUAACAUGGUGCUGGCAUGCAGCAAUCUCCCUAGAAAUGCGAGCCACGACUAUGUUGGCAGAAUGAUUCAUUCUGAGGACAGCUUUGUUACAUUGGAUCCCUGGCUGCUGGUGUGGGAGCCUGUUGUGGAUGGAGGUGUCUCCUGAGUACACUCCGUGGUGACUGUGCAGGUCCCGGGGCCACAGAACAUUGCUGAGGUUUGGCAAUGAUCCAGGCAUGACCCUGCUGAGGAGGCAGAAUGCCAGGGAAAGGAGUCUGGAGUCUGGGCCAAAGCCAGGGAGCGAGCUGGACUCAGAGGCUCUGCUGGAGGCGUCGCUCUGACAAAGGCCAGUGCUGGGUGCAGCUCCAGCACUGGAGAGAGAGCAGGUGGACAAAGGGAGCCUCAGCUGGUGGGACCUGGAGGCCAAAGAGGCAAAGCCAACAAAAGCCACCCUGAGAAGGAACUCCUGGGAUGAUUUCCACCAUGCUGGCCUUCAAGGCCAUGUCCCAGUUCUGUGCUGAGCAGGACAGGGCCUGAGAAAGGCCCAGAGUACCCACAUGCCCCUUGGCUGGACAAGCAUCACCGUUAACCUCAGCCAUGCUCCGGCCCCAAGCAGCACCCGCUUCUCCCGGAGAGUGGACAGGCUGCAGGAACCACUGCCUCAGCCUUAGCAGUACCCGAGUGUCUCCUAUCCAGGACCUGGCUAUCCCUCCCUGCCUGGGCCUCUGCCUUGCUGCCCUGCAAGUGUCCCGUGAGUGUGACCAUUGAUAACCUCCCCCAUCCUUCCCGGUGGCCUUUGAUGCUAUGCUGACCCCUUAUGCCACCACCAUGGUCCUCAUGUCUGGCCACUCUGUAUUUCCCCACUACUUGGUGUUCAGUUUCUCUCAGUACUAUUUCAGGGUUCUGAGUGAGUCCCAACACCUCACUUCAGAGGAACUGCUGAGGCCUCCCGUGGGAGGCUCUGUGUGGAUCUGGCGGGGCUGGGUGGUCAGUAGUGGAGGUGUCAGAGGAAGGGCUCCCUGCCUGAGACCUGCUGGCUAGCUCUGUCCUCCCAGACAGGGGCCUUUGCUGUGGAGAUGGCUCUGGGCCCAUUGCAAGGUGAUUGCUCCUCCUUUGCCUUCGAGAGCCACUGGGACCCUGGAGGCAGAAAUGAGUCCACAGUCAGCCCCCAGCAAUUCGUCAGAAUCACCCCGUAUGCUUCCUAUCAGCGGAUGGCGCUAGCAGCUUCUGCUUCAGGUAAGCUGACCUUGGCUAUGACCUAUAACCUUGGCUGUGUCUCCCCAGAUUGUGUGUGUGUGCUGGGGGGAGGGUGCUCUGCGAUUUUUGGCUCCCCGUAUGUCCAAGAAAAGCCACCGAUUUUCACUUCCUCCAGCCUUUUCUCCUUGUAAGGUGGGAGGGAUGACUUCCAAGCCCACCAUGUGUCAGCUGAAAGCCACAAGCCUGGAGAUGUCUCAUUGACUGUCUCCUGGAUUUAGUUCUGAGCAUUGGAUGUGUUUUGGUCUUGAUGUGAUUAUGAACCGUAUCUGUUUGUUGCUUUGUUUGAUGUAGUAUUGGGGAUUGAAUCCAGGGCCUUCAGAUUGAGCUACAUCCCCCCUACAUCUCUUUCAAUGUGUUCCAUUUUAAGACUAAGUCUUGAAAAGUCCCGAACUUGCCCAGGUAGUGUAUCUGUGACCCUCCUGCCCAGCCCCCAGUGGUGGGCCCACAGUGGUACGCCACCACACCCAGCUCGUAUCUUUUAAAAAUAAUUUUAUUUUCUUUUGGUUUUUCUCCUUGGCCUUGGUCACCACCCACCAAGCACAUUCAUUUCUUUGUGUGCUUUCUGUCUUGUCCCCUUCGAGACAGUAGGAUGGAGAAGUGAGGAGCCCACAGGUCACAGAGCAGCAGUCACUCGCCCGUAGCUGCCCGCUGAAUGAAGGCAGAGUGGCGGUCAGAUUCCAAGGCCACACUCAGCCUUCACCAACAAACAUUCCGAUCACCAGGCUCAGGGGUGUGGAUCCCACCAGGUGUCAUGAGAAUCCAAAUCAUUGGUGUCGGGGUUCCAGAGAGGACACGUCUGAGAAGUCAAAGGGUCUCCCUGUGAGCCUGUGCCAGGGCCACGGGCCUCAGCGCUUCCUGUUGUGCAGGCAGGCACUGGGAAUCCCGGACCAGAGCUGGCAAUCAGCAGGGUUCAGUGUGGUUUGCAGCUUUGACUUUGAGUGUUAACCUUAGCCUGGGAAAAUUGCUUAACUUCUUUGAGCCUUUGUUUCCUCAUCUGGAAGGUGGUGGUUACCACAUGGGCCUCGUAGGGGUUCGGUGUAAAGGAAAGGAAAUGAUGGAGACAGUGCUCAGCCUUGGGC